rnacentral:lncRNA from 1 species
GAGAUGAGCGCUGUGCUCCAACGUGCUAAUGAUCGGAUGUGCACUCUGAGGGCAAUGUCAUUCGGUUGUAUUGCUUGAGGUGGUGUGGCGGAAAGUUCUUAGCACGGGAGUUCGCAUCCUACCGACGAUGCAAAUCUUGCACGGGCGCAUGCUUAUGUUAAGGCUGGAGUUGAUCUCUAAGCUUGGGCGUGUUAUUAGGCGGAUGUUGCACUGAGAGGGCAUGUCAUUCAAUUGUAUUGCCUGACCUUGUGUGGCCGAAGCUUAUGCGCACUCCCUGUUGCGAGGAGUUUGGAUCUGGUCGAUGAUACAUUUCUAGCA